rnacentral:lncRNA from 1 species
UCCCUCCACCUUUUUUUCUUUCUCCUCAUCCUCUUCCUCCUUUAAGCCAUCCAUACUCACUCCCUCCACGAUGGGCCCUCUACCUCUGCUCCUUUUCUCUGGCAACCCAUCUUCCUCUUCCUCUUCCUCCCUAUUCUCUUGAUCUUUUUCUUGUCCUUGUUCUCCUUCUCUAAACCAUUCUUUGUCGGCAGCCCUUCUUCCCUCCCCUACC